UGGAUGAUCUUCGUUGGUUUCGGGAUGUUGCAAGUAAUCAGUUGUGUGAUAGUGUCGGUUUCAACACUUGAGAAACCUUAGCUUCCGAAUUGGUUCCAUCUACCAGUUCAUCGGUGAACUGCAUAUUCAAUCUGAUAAUGAGAUAAUUCUGCAGGCACGUGUGGGUAGAAAUGUUGAUGGCAUUGACCUCAGCCUUUAUAAUCAAUCGCUACAACUAUUGCGUCAGUUUCAAGC